rnacentral:rRNA from 2 species
UGCAUCAUGAUUUACAUUUGAGUGAGUGGCGAACUGGUGAGUAACACGUGGGAAACCUGCCCAGAAGCGGGGGAUAACACCUGGAAACAGAUGCUAAUACCGCAUAACAACUUGGACCGCAUGGUCCGAGUUUGAAAGAUGGCUUCGGCUAUCACUUUUGGAUGGUCCCGCGGCGUAUUAGCUAGAUGGUGGGGUAACGGCUCACCAUGGCAAUGAUACGUAGCCGACCUGAGAGGGUAAUCGGCCACAUUGGGACUGAGACACGGCCCAAACUCCUACGGGAGGCAGCAGUAGGGAAUCUUCCACAAUGGACGAAAGUCUGAUGGAGCAACGCCGCGUGAGUGAAGAAGGGUUUCGGCUCGUAAAACUCUGUUGUUAAAGAAGAACAUAUCUGAGAGUAACUGUUCAGGUAUUGACGGUAUUUAACCAGAAAGCCACGGCUAACUACGUGCCAGCAGCCGCGGUAAUACGUAGGUGGCAAGCGUUGUCCGGAUUUAUUGGGCGUAAAGCGAGCGCAGGCGGUUUUUUAAGUCUGAUGUGAAAGCCUUCGGCUCAACCGAAGAAGUGCAUCGGAAACUGGGAAACUUGAGUGCAGAAGAGGACAGUGGAACUCCAUGUGUAGCGGUGAAAUGCGUAGAUAUAUGGAAGAACACCAGUGGCGAAGGCGGCUGUCUGGUCUGUAACUGACGCUGAGGCUCGAAAGUAUGGGUAGCAAACAGGAUUAGAUACCCUGGUAGUCCAUACCGUAAACGAUGAAUGCUAAGUGUUGGAGGGUUUCCGCCCUUCAGUGCUGCAGCUAACGCAUUAAGCAUUCCGCCUGGGGAGUACGGCCGCAAGGCUGAAACUCAAAGGAAUUGACGGGGGCCCGCACAAGCGGUGGAGCAUGUGGUUUAAUUCGAAGCUACGCGAAGAACCUUACCAGGUCUUGACAUACUAUGCAAAUCUAAGAGAUUAGACGUUCCCUUCGGGGACAUGGAUACAGGUGGUGCAUGGUUGUCGUCAGCUCGUGUCGUGAGAUGUUGGGUUAAGUCCCGCAACGAGCGCAACCCUUAUUAUCAGUUGCCAGCAUUAAGUUGGGCACUCUGGUGAGACUGCCGGUGACAAACCGGAGGAAGGUGGGGAUGACGUCAAAUCAUCAUGCCCCUUAUGACCUGGGCUACACACGUGCUACAAUGGAUGGUACAACGAGUUGCGAACUCGCGAGAGUAAGCUAAUCUCUUAAAGCCAUUCUCAGUUCGGAUUGUAGGCUGCAACUCGCCUACAUGAAGUCGGAAUCGCUAGUAAUCGCGGAUCAGCAUGCCGCGGUGAAUACGUUCCCGGGCCUUGUACACACCGCCCGUCACACCAUGAGAGUUUGUAACACCCAAAGUCGGUGGGGUAACCUUUUAGGAACCAGCCGCCUAAGGUGGGACAGAUGAUUAGGGUGAAGUCGUAACAAGGUAGCCGUAGGAGAACCUGCGGUUGGAUCACC